AAGAGCAAUAGUCAUAAUAUUGA
rnacentral:siRNA from 1 species